rnacentral:rRNA from 1 species
GCUUAACACAUGCAAGUCGAACGCAACCUUCGGGUUGAGUGGCGGACGGGUGAGUAACGCGUGAGAAUCUGCCUUGGGGUCGGGGACAACCACUGGAAACGGUGGCUAAUACCGGAUAAGCCUUUGGGUAAAAAAUUUAUUGCCCCAAGAGGAGCUCGCGUCUGAUUAGCUAGUUGGUGAGGUAAAAGCUCACCAAGGCAGCGAUCAGUAGCUGGUCUGAGAGGACGAUCAGCCACACUGGGACUGAGACACGGCCCAGACUCCUACGGGAGGCAGCAGUGGGGAAUUUUCCGCAAUGGGCGAAAGCCUGACGGAGCAAGACCGCGUGAGGGAGGAAGGCUCUUGGGUUGUAAACCUCUUUUCUCAGGGAAGAAGCUCUGACGGUACCUGAGGAAUCAGCCUCGGCUAACUCCGUGCCAGCAGCCGCGGUAAUACGGAGGAGGCAAGCGUUAUCCGGAAUUAUUGGGCGUAAAGCGUCCGCAGGUGGCGAUUCAAGUCUGCUGUCAAAGCACGGGGCUUAACUCCGUUAAGGCAGUGGAAACUGAAUAGCUAGAGUGCCGUAGGGGUAGAGGGAAUUCCCGGUGUAGCGGUGAAAUGCGUAGAGAUCGGGAAGAACAUCGGUGGCGAAAGCGCUCUACUGGACGGCAACUGACACUCAGGGGCGAAAGCUAGGGGAGCGAAUGGGAUUAGAUACCCCAGUAGUCCUAGCUGUAAACGAUGGAUACUAGGUGUAGCUUGUAUCGACCCGAGCUGUGCCGAAGCUAACGCGUUAAGUAUCCCGCCUGGGGAGUACGCACGCAAGUGUGAAACUCAAAGGAAUUGACGGGGGCCCGCACAAGCGGUGGAGUAUGUGGUUUAAUUCGAUGCAACGCGAAGAACCUUACCAGGGCUUGACAUGUCCGGAAUCCCGGUGAAAGCUGGGAGUGCCUUCGGGAGCCGGAACACAGGUGGUGCAUGGCUGUCGUCAGCUCGUGUCGUUGAGAUGUUGGGUUAAGUCCCGCAACGAGCGCAACCCUCGUCUUUAGUUGCCAGCAUUAAGUUGGGCACUUUAGAGAGACUGCCGGUGACAAACCGGAGGAAGGUGGGGAUGACAUCAAGUCAGCAUGCCCCUUACGCUCUGGGCGACACACGUACU